UCAAGCUCAGCCUGACUGAUCCACGAACAAGCAGCACUGGGAGACAGCGAGAUCUACUCCUCCAUCCAUGCGCAAGCAAUACUCCAUCUGCCUGAUUUUUCCUCCUUGGUGCACGCGCAGACUGCAGACAACCUCCAACAAUUUUUAAGCACGCGCAGACUGCAGACAACCUCGCACAACAGAACGUGACACGUAGGCGAAGAAGCUGGGCAGUUGAUAGGAGUUGACGAUCCAGACGGGGGCACUUGCAGGGGAGAUGAUUACGGCGACCAUCAGCGGCAGUGUACGCAGCGGAUUGGGUUUAAGCGACGGCGGCCAAACCUGGAGACCUGAUCCAUGUACAGACGGGUAAUUUCACUUCCUCGAUCAGCGUGCCAAGAAAUUUGUGAUGAUUCCUUUCCUGACCUAGUUGCUGCAUAGUAUUCCCAGAUCUCGACUUCGCAGAUCAAUUGAUCACGGGAAAGAAAACCAGCGACCACAUCGAUGCGAGAGAGACGAGAUGCAGAAAACCGAUUACGAUCGAGCUACUGUUUUUUCAUAG
rnacentral:lncRNA from 1 species